rnacentral:rRNA from 1 species
AACGAACGCUGGCGGCAGGCUUAACACAUGCAAGUCGAACGCCCCGCAAGGGGAGUGGCAGACGGGUGAGUAACGCGUGGGAAUCUACCUAGUUCUACGGAACAACUGAGGGAAACUUCAGCUAAUACCGUAUACGCCCUACGGGGGAAAGAUUUAUCGGAAAUAGAUGAGCCCACGUUGGAUUAGCUAGUUGGUGGGGUAAUGGCCUACCAAGGCGACGAUCCAUAGCUGGUCUGAGAGGAUGACCAGCCACACUGGGACUGAGACACGGCCCAGACUCCUACGGGAGGCAGCAGUGGGGAAUAUUGGACAAUGGGCGCAAGCCUGAUCCAGCCAUGCCGCGUGAGUGAUGAAGGCCUUAGGGUUGUAAAGCUCUUUCAGUGGGGAAGAUAAUGACGGUACCCACAGAAGAAGCCCCGGCUAACUUCGUGCCAGCAGCCGCGGUAA